GGGGAAGAGGGCCAAGCUGACAGGACAGUGAUUAGUCUUCAGGGAGCAAAGGCGAAGACUCUGCCGGCGAGCCUGGGGCUGGAGAAGCUGGCCGAGGUCCCAGUCCGGUGGGCUGGAGCAAUGAUUUCAGAGGCCCGGAAUCUGAGGAGAAAUACCAUAUUAUCCCCAUUUUGCAGAUGAGGAGACAGAAGUGGAGAGAGGUGAAGUGACUUGCUCAACAUCACACAGUUGCCUUCCCACGUGUGUGAGACCAUUGCUGUGGAAAGAAGCCGGGCCUGACUUCAGGGAUCUGGUGUGAAAUGACUGGACCCAUGCGUUCUGAGUAAACAAGAGAGCCCCUUCUGGCUUCUCCGGGAGGAACCAAAUGGCUUCAGCAUUCAGCUCCAAAGCCCGAUGGAGACCAAGAGUGAUACACUGUACUCAUGAUCAACUGCUCAGUUCUGGUUUGGGCCUCUGAGGGCUGAUGGGGUUUGGCAGUUCUGCCUCCACACAGCUGCCAAGGCCACCAUAAUUCUGGGACCUAGGAGUAAUUUCAAAGGUUUGGCUGUUACAUAUACAGCUGUUAUAAACAUCUGUGUGGGUGUCUUUCCAAAUGGAAUUGCUGGUUCAUGGAACCUCCAGCACAAUGUUGAAUGGAAAUGGUGAUAGUGGGCAUCUUGUCUUGUACCCAGUCUCACUAUGUGGAAGCUUCACUAUUUCACAAUGAAGGCCCAGCACGGUGACUCAAACCUGUAAUCCCAGCACUUUGGAGGGCUGAGGCAAGUGGAUCACCUGAGAUCAGGAGUUCAAGACCAGUCAAGACCAGCCUGGCCAACAUGGUGAAACCCCAUCUCUACUAAAAAUACAAAAACAAACAAACAAAAAAAUCAGCCAGCUGUGGUGGCGCAUGCCUGUAGUCCCAGCUACUCGGGAGGCUGAGGCAGGAGAAUCACUUGAACCCAAGAGGAGGAAGUUGCAGGAGUCAAGAUCAUACAACUGCAUUCCAGCCUGGGUGACAGAGCAAGACUCCAUCUCAAAAAAAAAAAAAUUCACAAUGAAGUAUGUUGUUUGCUGAAGGUUUUCAUAGAUGCCCUUUGCCAGGUUGAGGAAGCUCCCUUCUGUUCCUAAUGUGUUGAGACUUUUAUCAUGAAUGUGUGUUAAAUUUUGUAAAAUGCUUUUUACGCAUUUAUCAUGAUUUUUCUCCUUUUUACUGUUAGGUGAAUUACAAUGAUUGGUUUUUGAUUGUUAAACCACCCUUGAAUUCCUGGAUUAAAACUCAUCUAGUCGUAAUGAAUUAUUCUUUUAAUAUUUUGCUGGACUCCAUUUGUUAAUAUUUUAUUUUACUUUAUUUUAUUUUGAGACAGGGUCUAGCUCUGUCACCCAGGCUGGAGUGUAGUGGUGCAGUCAUAGCUCACUGUAAGCUCAAACUCCUGGGGUAACAUGAUCCUCCCACUUUGGCCUCCCAAAGUGCUAGGGUUAUAGGUGUGAGCCACUGUGCCUGGCCAGCUAAUAUUUUAAAUCAUGCUUUUUUUGUGAUAAUUGUAGAUUCACAUGCAGUUGUAAGAAAUAAUACAGAGAUAUAUUGUAUCCUUUGCCAAGUUUCUCCCAAUGUUAAUAUCUUGCAAAAAUACAGUACGGUAUUACAACCAGGAUGUUGACAUUGAUUCAGUCAAGUUGCAGAACAGGCUGAGCUCAUGCCUGUAAUCCUAGCACUUUGGGAGACUGAGGCAGGAGGAUCGCUUGAGUCUAGGAGUUUAAGACAAGCCUGGGCAAAAUAGCAAGGUCUUGUAUCUACAAAAAAUUUAGAAAAAAAAAAUAGCUGGGUUGCCUGUAAUCCAAGCACUUUGGGAGGCCAAGGCAGGCAGAUCACCUGAGGUCAGGAGUUUGAGACCAGCCUGGCAAACACGGUGAAACCUUGUCUCUACUAAAAAUACAAAAAUUAGCUGGGCAUGUUGGCAAGUGCCUGUAAUCCCAGCUACUUGGGAGGCUGAGGCAGGAGAAUGGCUUGAACCUGGGAGGUGGAGGUUGCAGUGAGCUGAGAUCACGCCACUGCACUCCAGCCUGGGCGAAAGAGCGAAACUCACUCUCAAAAAAAAAAAAAUAGCUGGGUGUGGUGCUGCAUGCCUGUAGUCCCAGCUACUUGGGAGCCUGAGGCGGGAGGAUGGCUUGAGCUCAAGAGGUCACAGUGAGCUGUGAUCAUGCCACUGCACUCUAGCCUGGGCAAAACGGCAAGAUCCUGUCUCAAUAAAUAAAUAAAUAAUAAAGUUCCAAAACAGUUCCAUCACAAGAAUCCCUCCUAUUGCCUUUUAUAGCUAUGCCCACUUCCUUCCUGCUCCCACCUCCUCUUUAAACCCUGGCAACCACUAAUCUUUUCAUUUCCAAAAGUUUGUCAUUUCAAGAAUGUUAUAUAAUGGAGUCACACACUACAUAACCAUGUGGUAUUAGUUUUUUGACUUAGCAUAAUUCUCUAAAGAUUCAUCCAAGCUGUUGCAUGUAUGUUUGUUCCUUUUUAUUGCUGAGUAGUAUUCUGUGGUAUGGAUGUACCAGUUAGCCAGCCACUCGUUGAAAGACAUCUGGGCUGUUUCCAGUUUUGGGCUAUUACAAAGAAAGCUGCUAUAAACAUUCACGUACAAAUUUUUGUGUAAACAUUAAUUUUAAAUUCUCUGGUAUAAAUGUCUGAGUGCAACUGCUAGGUCAUAUGGUAGUUGCUCACUUAAUUUUUAUAAGAAACUACCAAACUCUUGUGUAGAAUUACUGUACCAUUUUACAUCUCCAGCGGCAAUGUACGAGUGACCCAGUCUCUGCAUUCUCACUAGCAUUUUUUAUUGUCACUUUUUUAGGCCAAUUGAUAACUAUGUAGCAAUAACUUAUUGUGGUUUUAAUUUGCACUGAUGAUGUUGACUAACUUUUCAUGUGCUUAUUUGCCAUCUGUAGAUCUUCUGUGGUGAAAUGUCUCUUCAUGUCUUUUGCCCAUUUUCUCACUGGAUUGUUUGUUUUGUUUUACUGUUGAGUCUUAAGAGUUCUUCAUAUAUUCUAGAUACAAGUCCUAUGUCAAAUACAUGUUUUGCAAAUAUUCUCUCCCAGUCUAUAGUUUAACUUUUCAUCUAUUUUAUUGCAGAAUGUAAGUAUUUAAUUUGAUGAAGUCUAAUUUAUCCAUCUUUUCUUGUAUGAAUCAUGCUUUUGAUAUCAAGUCUAAGACUUCUUCACUAAUGCCUAGGUCCUGAAGAUUUUCUCCCAUGUUUUCUUCUAAAUAAUUUGUAGUUCUAUGUUUUAUAUUUAAAUCUAUGACUCAUUUUCAGUUAAUUUUUGUGUAAGGUGUGAAGUCUAGGUUGAGGUUUGUCCUUUUGUUUAUGAAUUUCCAAUUGUUCCAGCCUAAUUUGUUGAAAAGGCUGUCUUUCCUCCAUUGAGAUGCUUCUGUACCUUGGUCAAAAAUCAGUUGGGGGCUGGGCGCGGUGGUCACACCUGUAAUCCCAGCACUUUGGGAGGCCGAGGUGGAUGGAUCACUUGAGCUCAGGAGUUUGAGAGCAGCCUGGGCAAUAUGGUGGAACUUCAUCUCUACCAAAAAUACAAAAAAAAAUUAGCCAGGCAUGAUGGCACAAGCCUUUAGUCCCAGCUAUUUGGGAGGCUGAGGCAGGAGGAUCACUUGAGCCUGGGAGACGGAGGUUGCAAUGAGCUGAGAGCACACCACUGCACUCUAGCCUGGGUGACAGAGCAAGACUCUGUCUCAAUAAAUAAAUAAAUAAAUAAAUAAUAAAUAAAUAAAAUUCAGUUGAGCAUAUUUUUGUAGAUCUGCUUCUGAGUUCUCUAUUCUGUCCAUUGAUCUAUGUCUCUCUCUCUCUCUCUCUCUGCCAGUGCCACACAGUCUUAAUGACAGUAGCUAUGUAAUAAGUCUUAAAAUCAGGUAGUGUGAUUCCUCCCACUGUGUUCUUCUUUUGCAAAAUUGUAUUAGCUAUUCUAGUUCCUUUGCCUUUUCAUAUAAAUUUUAGAAUAAUCUUGUCUAUGUCUACAAAAAUGCUUGUUGGAAUUUUGAUAAGAACAACACUAAACUUGCAUAGUAGUUUGAGAGAACUGACAUCUUUACUAUGUUGAAUCUUCCAAUCCAUGAACUCCUGGGUAUGUUUCUCCGUUUUUUUUUAGCUCUUUGAUUUCUUUCAUCAGCAUAUUGUGAUUUUCAACAGACAAAUCUUUUGCAUUUUGUUAGAUUGACACCUAAUUAUUUUUUUGGUGAGAUUAUAAAUGGUAUUGCAUUUUUAAUUUUGAUAUGCACAUGUUCAUUGCUAGUAUAUAGAAUACAGUUUAUUUCUGUAUGUUUGUCUUGUAUUCUGUUACCUUGCUGAACUUGCUUGUCAGUUCUGGGAGGGUUUUUUUUUUAUGGAUUCCUUGAGAUUUUCAUGCCUUCUGCAAAUCAGAGCCAAUUUAUUUAUUUUCCAAUCUGUAUGCCCUUUUUUCCUUUCUUUGUUCUUUGCUUUGCUUUCCUUAUUACAUUGACUAGAACUUCCAGCAUUAUUUUAAAGAAGAGUGAUGAGAGCAGGCAUCCUUUUUUUGUUUCCAAUAUAAAGUGAAAAGUAUUUCAUACUCAAUCUUUCAUUAUUGAGUAUGACCUCAGUUGUAGGAUGUUGUAGAUGGUCUUUAACAAGCUGAAGAAGUUCACACUCCCUCCUUUUUCAAGUGUUUGUCUUAUGAAAGAGUAUUGAAUUUUGUUAAAUGCUUUUUCUGCAUCAAUUGAUAAUGUGAUUUUUCUUUCUUAGUCUGUUAAUAUGAUGGAUUACAUUGAUUUCUGAGUAUUGAACCAGCCUUGCUUUCCUGGAAUAAACCCCACUUGGUCAUGGUGUAUGAUUCUUUUUAUAUAUUGCUGAACUGUAUUUGUUGGCUUUUUUGGAUAAUUUUUCUAUUUUUCUGAGGGAUAUUGGUCUGUAGUUUCUUGUUUUUUUUUUUUUGUUUUUUUUGUUUUGUUCUGUUUUGUUUUGUUUUGUUUUUGUAUAUGGUCUCUUCCAGUUUUGGUGACAGGGUAAAACUGACUUCAUAAAAUGAGUUGAGAAGUCUCCCCUCCUCUUCAGUGUUCUGGAAGAGAUUAUAUAGAGUGAAUUAUUUUUAAACUUUUGGUAGAAUUGUCCAGUGAAACCAUUUGGGCCUAGAAAUUUAUUUUGAGGGAGGUUUUUUAAAUUACAAAUUCAAUUUAUUUGAUAGUCAUAUGACUAUCCAAAUUAUCUCUUUCAUAUUGAGUGAGUUAUGGUAGUUUGUAAUUUUCAAAGAACUGAUACAUUUUAUCUAAGUUGUAAAAUUUAUGUGUGUAGAGUUGUUCAUAGUAUUUCCUUACUGUGCUUUUGAUAUUCACAGGAUCUGUAUCAAUAUCCUCUGUUUUAUUCCUGAUAUUGGUGAUUUGUGUCUUCUCCCUUUUUUUCUUUGUCAGUCUUGCUAGAAAUUUGUCAAUUUUAUUGAUCUUUUCAAAGAACCAGCUCUUUUGUUGCAUUGAUUUCCCACUCUUAAAGUCCUGGAACAUACCUCACUUGGUCAUGAUGAAUUAUUCUUUCAAUGUAUAUUCUGAUUCCAUUUCCUAAUAUUUUGUUUUUAGAUUUUGCAUUCAUGUUUACAAGACAGAUUGGUCCGAAAUGUUCCUUUUUUCAUAAUACCAUUGUCCAGUUUUGGUAUCAAGGUUUGUCUAGUUAUUUGGCUAGGCUUAUAAAAAGAAUUGAGAAGUAUUCCUUCUUUUUCUUUUCUCUAGAGAGAUUUUUGUAAUACUGAUGUUAAUAAACACAUAUAGUUUAAUACACUUAGAUAUAUUUGGUGUAAAUAGUUUCA
rnacentral:lncRNA from 10 species